rnacentral:rRNA from 1 species
UACGUAGGCAGCGAGCGUUGUUCGGAGUUACUGGGCGUAAAGCGUGCGCAGGCGGUGAUGUAAGACCGAUGUGAAAUCCCCGGGCUUACCUGGGAACUGCAUUGGUGACUGCAUUGCUGGAGUAUGGCAGAGGGGGGUGGAAUUCCACGUGUAGCAGUGAAAUGCGUAGAGAUGUGGAGGAACACCGAUGGCGAAGGCAGCCCCCUGGGCCAAUACUGACGCUCAUGCACGAAAGCGUGGGGAGCAAACAGG